CUAUCUAUCUAUCUAUCUGUCAGUCUUUGCUAGUGUUCACAACAUACUUGUUUUGCUUUUAGCAGCUUCAAUAUCGCCGGCUGAGUCCGAAGCGGCACGGGAGACUUCCCAGAGGCCCCGAGAGGAUGACCUUCGCCUAAAUAGGAUUGCUUGAAUCACGCCGACGGGAGGACCACACGGACUUCCUUCGCCUGACACGUUAUCCUGCUAAGACUGUUGCUAUUACUACUCGCUGCUAUUUUUACGUGGGCUGUUGUCAUUGGCACCGAAUCUCUCGUUGACGGCGGUGCCAGCGGUUCCCUCCGUGCUCAAGAACGGCUGGUGCGUAUAUAGCUUUUGUUUACUACCCCAGGGACGUGGCGCAAAAAAUAAAAGUCGUCGGUUUGGCGAACUAGACGUCAGCAGGAGUGAGACAGAGAGAGACCUUCAGCGGCUCUGAGCAGACGCAACAGCCAGACAGCCGUCAGCCGAGAGCGGAGUUACAAAAAGCCGGCACAAUAGCAGAUCCCGUCUACAUUGCGCUGAUCACACGGUCACAUCGCCGCCUCCUAACCCGUCGCAAUGUCCGCCAAUCUACUUUCCGCCACCUGAUCCCCGGUCCUCGUCAGCCCACCUUCCCCUGCUGAUCCGUCGGGCCUGCUCUCCUCAUCUCGGGCGGCGAGGACAAAAAACGGGCGAAACAGACACCUACGGGGACAGAUCCGCCUUCGGGCCAAAGAGGUCACGAUGGCAUUCCGCGCCCGCCAUCACCGACGCGGUCCGGCUCAUAUUUCCGUGUUGGGCAGCCGUGUAUAGCCGGUCUCCUCUUUUAGAUGACGCCCUGGAUUUAACGGACCCAAAGCCACGGUGGGAAGAUCAUCAUCCCUAAGCUAUCCCUUUGUCCCGUCAGCGUCACGAAAUCCGAAGGAGUUAGUAACGUGAGGACGAAUUCAAACUCACCGGCACCCGGAUUUAGGGAGCGCAGACGGACCUGGCUAACGGGAGCGGCCAACCCUUCCGCUUGCCAAAUCCACUUCCUCUAUGUGAUCAAGGAAAACAUGAAAUAAAUGGUUA
rnacentral:misc_RNA from 1 species